AUUAUGUGAGCAGCUGUAUUGCCCUCUAGUGACAGGUGAAGAAAUUCUUCUCCAUGCAAUAGGUAGCACCGUGAGACGGACGAUUUACAGACACACAGUUAAGACAGAUAUCGGCAGUAAAAAGUUCUUCUGGAAGCUUUUGUAAUUUGGACAGCCAUUCACAGAAGCGAUCUUGGCAUUUGAAAUCUGACUCAGGGUUUUGUCAGCUUUCGUCUAGGAUUUCUGCGCUUUACGAAGAUUAGCAAGAGAAAAUGGAUGCCCCACAUGGUAACUAAAGCUUCAAAAUUGUUCUGACGAGAAAUACAAAGAAGUCACUAAGGAGGAUUAAACAUUUUAAGGAUCACUGCUGCUAUUAAAACUGUAUCAUUUGAAAUUGUGUCCUAGGCAUACAGAUUACAGCUUCAUGUUCUUUGCAGUGAUGUAACACCAAGAAUAUGACAAUCAAAUUUCUGGUGUGGGAAAAACAUGAAAUAAAGGCUUUCUCAAGUGAGAUGGACCAGACAAUUCAUGUUUUACAGAAUGAUGAGAAAAUUGUAGAAGUAGUCAAGCUUUGAUAUGGAGUAAGAAUGACCAGGUGUUCUGCACUUUAUCCUAUCAUAAAUGCUGUAGUUCUGCUGAUGUUAUUGUAGCUCCACAAACAAUAAGUUAAGAUCUUGGCUGCUGUAUGACCUACUUACAGUGUAUAUAGCUUCUCCUAAUGUAUGGCAGUGUUUUGGAUAUGGGCAUGGUGGUCUAGUUGACAGGGUUUUUUCUCUGUAAUGCCUGAUGUGACACUGGUGGUUCAUCAGCCAAACUGUGGCCUAGACAACCUCCUCUAAUUGAUAAUAUAUAAGAAAUGAUACACACAGGUAGUAAAAGCUGCCCAGCUUCUGGCAGCAGAAGCAAAACAAAACCACCUUCUGUACAAUUUGCAGUCCACCCUGGGGAGCGCAGCUGGAGGGACUCUGGGUGGGUCAUGUGGCCAAAAGGGCUGUACUCUGCUGGGCCAGAUGUCUCUGGAUACCCUCUCACUCCCAGAGCUUCCAUCCAAACCUCUAGACUAAACCAGCAGGUGCCUCAAAACUGUCAAAAAUACCAUCAAUAAAGCAGCUGGCGACAGAGGACUCUGCUUAAAGACAAGGAAAAUGGAAAGUCAUCCUCUCAAACAAGGUGGCUGCCAGGAAGAGCACUGAGGCCCAGCUGAAGAAAAUUACUGUACUCACUUUGGAAAUUAAAAUCACAAUGUCCAACAAUACUGUUAGAUGCUACUGCAAUUAAUUCUUCUUGGCAACGCUACUGGGACAGGCGAAUGAACCUCAAGGGGGACAUUUGUGGUGGAGGAUGAAGUACAAGAGAUGCAUGCCCAGAUCCAGAAAAGUUUACAAAACAGACAUAUUCUCUCUACAACAGAACUAGCCAAAUCCUGCAGCCCACAAGGAAAGGCAAACUCUUAAAACUUGUCUUCCUCAUCCUUACAAAAAAUGCUCAGAUGUUUCAUAGAUGGCAAGUUUAAUUCAGGAAAAGAUGUGCAACUUACUCCAGUUGCAGAUACCAUGCACUGAUAUUUACAUAUCUCAAACUGAUUAUGAGGUGGAAAAAAAAUACAACGCAGUUGAAAGAAUUCUUUUGGGAAAGUCACAUCAAGACCAAAUAAUUUCCCAUCAUUUAGUAAAACACAUCACUGGACUGUAAUCACUCCUUUGAAGAGCAGGAAAUCUGCCAGGUGGCAAGGACCUGGACUUUUUAAUGCAGUUUCCAUCUCAUCUCUGUUUUCAGAUUAGUGAAGAGCUGCAUCUCU